CCUACGGGUGGCAGCAGUGAGGAAUAUUGGUCAAUGGACGCAAGUCUGAACCAGCCAAGCCGCGUGAAGGAAGACGGCUCUAUGAGUUGUAAACUGCUUUUGUACGAGGGUAAACGCAGAUACGCGUAUCUGUUUGCAUGUACCCUACGAAUAAGGAUCGGCUAACUCCGGGCCAGCAGCCGCGGUAAUACGGAGGAUGCAAGCGUUAUCCGGAUUUAUUGGGUUUAAAGGGUGCGUAGGUGGUCUGUUAAGUUAGAGGUGAAAUCUCGAGGCUCAACUUCGGAAUUGCCUCUGAUACUGUUCGGCUAGAGUGUAUUUGCGGUAGGCGGAAUGUGUGGUGUAGCGGUGAAAUGCUUAGAUAUCAUGCAGAACACCGAUUGCGAAGGCAGCUUACCAAGCUACAACUGACGUUGAGGCACGAAAGCGUGGGGAGCAAACAGGAUUAGAUACCCUUGUAGUC
rnacentral:rRNA from 1 species